AAAGUGCGAAACGUAGUGCGAUUUGCAUGCCCUGUGAGUCAUCGAGUCUUUGAACGCAUAUUGCGCCUUUUGGCCAUGCUGAGAGGCAUGCCUGUUUGAGAAUCAUUCAUCACAUCCAUUUCUGGGUGGACACUACCAUCCGGGAGACAUGGCGUGUCAUCACUGACAGUCUUGAAUUGUGCGCGUGACUGUGUCGUGGUAUUUGCGGAUGCACGUGUGCGUUGCGAUCGUCGACCAAUCACUUUUCGAACUGAUGAUCUCAAAUCAGGCAGGAUCACCCGCUGAACUUAA
rnacentral:misc_RNA from 1 species